rnacentral:rRNA from 1 species
NNNNNNNNNNNNNNNNNNCCGUAUGAAUGGCCCCACGAGGGCUGCACUGUCUCCUUUUUCUAAUCAAUGAAACUAAUCUCCCCGUGAAGAAGCGGGAAUUAUCCUAUAAGACGAGAAGACCCUAUGGAGCUUUAAACAACUGAAACAUUUGCUUUUCUCCUAACUCCUCCCGAGCCCUUUAUUUUUAUUUAAGCAUUAUUAUUUCUAGUUUUAGGUUGGGGUGACCACGGAGCAAAACUAAACCUCCAUGAAGAAAUGAAUAUUUUUAAGCCACAAACUACUUUUUUAAGCAUCAACAAAUUGACCUUCAUUGACCCAAUAUAUUGAUCAACGAACCAAGUUACCCUAGGGAUAACAGCGCAAUCUACUUCAAGAGCUCAUAUCGACAAGUAGGUUUACGACCUCGAUGUUGGAUCAGGGUAUCCUAGUGGUGCAGCCGCUACUAAUGGUUCGUUUGUU